AGCAGCCGCGGUAAUUCCAGCUCCAAUAGCGUAUAUUAAAGUUGUUGCAGUUAAAAAGCUCGUAGUUGAAUUUCGGAACCGAUGGAUCGGUCACGCCAUUCGGUGUGUACUGGUUUAAUUGGUUCUCACCUUCUAAGGAACCGUGAUGUCAUUAAUUUGGUGUCGCGGGGAAUUAGGACUGUUACCUUGAAAAAUUAGAGUGUUUAAAGCAAGCUCACGCUUGAAUACAUUAGCAUGGAAUAAUGAAAUAGGACAUUGUAUUCUAUUUUGUUGGUUUCUAGGAUCGAUGUAAUGAUUAAUAGGGAUAGUUGGGGGCAUUAGUAUUCAAUUGUCAGAGGUGAAAUUCUUGGAUUUAUUGAAGACUAACUACUGCGAAAGCAUUUGCCAAGGAUGUUUUCAUUAAUCAAGAACGAAAGUUAGGGGAUCGAAGACGAUCAGAUACCGUCGUAG
rnacentral:rRNA from 2 species